rnacentral:tRNA from 1 species
UUAAAAAAUAAAUAAUUAUGUCAGAAUAAAUGAAAUGAACUUAAAAUUCAUAAAUAAGAA